GAUGAACGCUGGCGGCGUGCUUAACACAUGCAAGUCGAACGGAAAGGCUCCUGCUUGCAUGGUUUGUCGAUUGGCGAACGCGGGAGUAACACGUGGGUGAACUGCCCUUAACUUCGGGAUAAGCCUUGGGAACUGGGUCUCUUACCGGGUAGAACCACAUUAUGGGCGUUGUUGUGGAAAGAUUUUCGGUCUGGGUUGAGCUGGCGGCCUAUCGGCUUGUUGGUUGGGUAAUGGCUUACCAAGCCGCUGACGGGUAGCCGGCAGGAGAGGUUAUACGGCGACAUGGGGACUGAGAUACGGCCCAGAAUCCUACGGGACGCAGUAGUGGGGAGUAUGGCACAAUGGGCGCAAGUCUGAUGCAGCGACGCCGCGUGGGGGAUGACGGCCUUCGGGUUGUAAACUCAUUUCGCUGGGGCCGAAGCGCAAGUGACGGUACCUGGAGAAGAAGCACCGGCUAACUACGUG
rnacentral:rRNA from 1 species